UCUAAUAUAAAUAGAAAUAUAUGUUAAAUAUAGUUCUAUUUAUCUUAUAAUAUAUCUUAUAAUCCUUUAUAAGUAUUAUAAAAGAUAACAUAAUAAAUAAUGCAUACAGUAUUUAUUUGUUAUAUAUUUCGAACUUUUCACGCAAAUACGUAUGCAUAGAUAUCAUCCCCAUCAUUAAAAGGGAAUCCCCAUUGAAUUCAGUAAAGUGAAUAUCAGGCACCAUUUUUUAAGUCCAUAAUGUAUUACGUAUAUUUUACGUAUAUAGAAAGGAAUAGCAUAAGGAAACAAAUUGGAGAUAUAACAUGAUGUGACAUUUUUGUAUUAAUAUAUGUGUGCAAAUAUUUCAUAAAAAAAGAUAAUAAUGAAACGUAAACAACACAAAAUAUAACUACAAUUUUCAACAAAUAAAUCAAAGAUAUAAAAAUCCUUACGUUAUUAGCAGUUGCGUUGAAUAUAUAAUAUCUUCGAGGUACCAUACCAUAUAUCUCGCACACAUUGUCCUACCAUAUUAAAAUAUAUUAUUGCUAAGUAUAAAAUUUAAUACUAAAAAA